rnacentral:rRNA from 1 species
GACGAACGCUGGCGGCGUGCUUAACACAUGCAAGUCGAGCGGUAAGGCCCUUUCGGGGGUACACGAGCGGCGAACGGGUGAGUAACACGUGGGUGACCUGCCCUCAGCUCUGGGAUAAGCCUGGGAAACUGGGUCUAAUACUGGAUAUGACUCCACGGUGCAUGUCGUGGGGUGGAAAGCCUUGUGCGGCUGAGGAUGGGGCCCGCGGCCUAUCAGCUUGUUGGGGGGUGAUGGCCUACCAAGGCGACGACGGGUAGCCGGCCUGAGAGGGCGACCGGCCACACUGGGACUGAGACACGGCCCAGACUCCUACGGGAGGCAGCAGUGGGGAAUCUUGCGCAAUGGGCGAAAGCCUGACGCAGCGACGCCGCGUGAGGGA